rnacentral:tRNA from 1 species
GCCGGCGUGGCGAAAUGGCAGACGCAAGGGACUUAAAAUCCCUUAUCCUGAAAAGGAUGUGUGGGUUCGAGUCCCGCCGCCGGCA